UACGUAGGGUGCAGGCGUUAAUCGGAAUUACUGGGCGUAAAGCGUGCGCAGGCGGCUUCUUAAGCCAGAUGUGAAAUCCCCGGGCUCAACCUGGGAAUGGCAUUUGGGACUGCAAGGCUUGAGUGCGGCAGAGGAGACUGGAAUUCCUGGUGUAGCAGUGAAAUGCGUAGAUAUCAGGAGGAAUACCGAUGGCGAAGGCAGGUCUCUGGGCUGACACUGACGCUCAUGCACGCAAGCGUGGGGAGCAAACAGG
rnacentral:rRNA from 1 species